GGAGUUGGCUGAACGAUCGCCGCCUUGCUUGCAGGGGGGAGGAAAGUCCGGGCUUCAUAGGGCAGGGUGCCAGGUAACGCCUGGGCGGCGCGAGCCGACGGAAAGUGCAACAGAGAGCAGACCGCCGAACGGUCUUGCGCACUAGCCUGCUGAGGACGAACCGGCACUUGUCGAGCGCGUAAGCGAUCGACAAAGUGUCCCUAGUAGAUCGCAGCGGGUGCGCAAGAUGCGUGGUAAGGGUGAAACGGUGCGGUAAGAGCGCACCGCGAGUCUGGUAACAGACCGGCACGGCAAACCCCACUCGAAGCAAGACCAAAUAGGUGUCCAUACGCGCGGCCCGCGCGGGACACGGGUAGGUUGCUUGAGCGCAUUGGUGACGAUGCGCCUAGAUGAAUGAUCGUUCUCGACAGAACCCGGCUUAUAGGCCAACUCCCCCC
rnacentral:RNase_P_RNA from 1 species